rnacentral:rRNA from 1 species
UGGGGAAUUUUGGACAAUGGGCGCAAGCCUGAUCCAGCCAUGCCGCGUGAGUGAAGAAGGCCUUCGGGUUGUAAAGCUCUUUCGGCCGGGAAGAAAUCGUGUUCUCUAACAUAGGACAUGGAUGACGGUACCGGACUAAGAAGCACCGGCUAACUACGUGCCAGCAGCCGCGGUAAUACGUAGGGUGCGAGCGUUAAUCGGAAUUACUGGGCGUAAAGCGUGCGCAGGCGGUUUUGUAAGACAGAUGUGAAAUCCCCGGGCUUAACCUGGGAACUGCGUCUGUGACUGCAAGGCUGGAGUACGGCAGAGGGGGGUGGAAUUCCACGUGUAGCAGUGGAAUGCGUAGAGAUGUGGAGGAACACCGAUGGCGAAGGCAGCCCCCUGGGCCUGUACUGACGCUCAUGCACGAAAGCGUGGGGAGCAAACA